AGAGUUUGAUCAUGGCUCAGAUUGAACGCUGGCGGCACGCCUAACACAUGCAAGUCGAGCGGCAGCGAGAUUAGUAGCAAUACUAAUUGUCGGCGAGCGGCGGACGGGUGAGUAACACGUAGGAACCUGCCCUUUAGCGGGGGAUAACCAAGGGAAACUUUGGCUAAUACCGCAUACACUCUAGCGAGGAAAGCUGUCCGUAAGGGUAGCACUAGAGGAGGGGCCUGCGUCCGAUUAGCUAGUUGGAGAGGUAAAAGCUCCCCAAGGCGAUGAUCGGUAACUGGUCUGAGAGGACGACCAGUCACACUGGGACUGAGACACGGCCCAGACUCCUACGGGAGGCAGCAGUGGGGAAUAUUGGACAAUGGGGGCAACCCUGAUCCAGCGAUGCCGCGUGGGUGAAGAAGGCCUUCGGGUUGUAAAGCCCUUUAGGUUGGGAAGAAGGGUGUCGUGUUAAUAACACGAUACUUUGACGGUACCGACAGAAUAAGCACCGGCAAACUCUGUGCCAGCAGCCGCGGUAAUACAGAGGGUGCAAGCGUUAAUCGGAUUUACUGGGCGUAAAGGGCGCGUAGGCGGUAAUGUGAGUGUGAUGUGAAAGCCCUGGGCUUAACCUAGGAAGUGCAUUGCAAACGAUGUUACUGGAGUAUAAGAGAGGGUGGCGGAAUUUCCGGUGUAGCGGUGAAAUGCGUAGAGAUCGGAAGGAACGUCAAUGGCGAAGGCAGCCACCUGGCUUAAUACUGACGCUGAGGCGCGAAAGCGUGGGGAUCGAACAGGAUUAGAUACCCUAGUAGUCC
rnacentral:rRNA from 1 species